AAAGAAUUAGUUAAUUUAUAACAUAAAUAUGUCAAAUUUAAAUUAUUACUUCAAAUAUGUAAUAUUCUUUU
rnacentral:tRNA from 1 species